rnacentral:rRNA from 1 species
AGUGAACGCUGGCGGCAGGCCUAACACAUGCAAGUCGAACGGCAGCACAGUAAUAGCUCGCUCUUACGGGUGGCGAGUGGCGGAUGGGUGCUGAAUAUAUCUGUAUUUACUUUUUCGUGGGGGAUAACGUAGGGACACUUACGCUAAUACCGCAUACGACCUACGGGUGAAAGCAUGGGAUCUCCGGACCUUGCGCGAUUGUAUGAGCCGAUGUCGGAUUAGCUAGUUGGCGGGGUAAAGGCCCACCAAGGCGACGAUCCGUAGCUGGUCUGAGAGGAUGAUCAGCCACACUGGAACUGAGACACGGUCCAGACUCCUACGGGAGGCAGCAGUGGGGAAUAUUGGACAAUGGGCGCAAGCCUGAUCCAGCCAUACCGCGUGGGUGAAGAAGGCCUUCGGAUUGUAAAGCCCUUUUGUUGGGAAAGAAAAGCAGCAGGUUAAUACCCCGCUGUUCUGACGGUACCCAAAGAAUAAGCACCGGCUAACUUCGUG